AAUCAUUUGCUAAGCAAGGAAGAUUGGGCUAAUGUGGAAAGUCUAUGUGACCUUUUGAAAGUUUUUAAGGUGUGUACGGACAUCAUCUCAGGCAGUGACUACCCAACUGCUAAUUUAUAUCUUAUUGAAGUGUUCAGAGUGAAGCAAACUUUGGAUAACGGUGCGUUGUUUGAGAAUGAUUUUAUCCGUGAUAUGGUGAAAAAGAUGAAGGAAAAAUUUGAUAAGUAUUGGGUUGAGUGCCAUCUUGUUAUGGCGAUAGCUUCUAUUUUAGAUCCACAGUUCAAGAUGAAAUUGGUUGAAUUUAGUUUUCCAACAACGUAUCAAAAUCCUGAUGAGAACAUUACAAAAGUAAAGAAUGCACUUUAUGAAAUGUAUACAGAGUAUGUAGAAAUACAUGAUACAUUAGUUAGGGAAGCUGCAACCCAUGGAAGUGAAUGUGGAUGAAACAACGUUUCAGGAUCGAAUGAAUGUACAUCACUUGGAUCGGGAUGGGAGGCAUUUGGAGAGUUUAUAAAGAAUGUAGAUUUAGAGAGACCAAAAAAGUCAGAAUUAGAUAUGUAUUUAGAAGAAGGUGUUUAUAGGGAGUAAGUACAAGGGGGGAUGAAAUCAUUUAAUGCAUUGGAGUGGUGGAAUGUGCACAAAUUAAAGUAUCAUGUUUUGUCCAUGAUGACUAGAGAUGUACUUGCAAUUCCAAUUUCUACUGUUGCAUCUGAGGCAAGUUUUAGUGUCGGGGGUAGAGUUAUUGAUCCCCAUCGAGCUUCAUUGGCACCAGAUACAAAUGUUAUUAGGCAUCUACAUAGAGUCAAGAAAAUGUUGAAGAAGGAGGAAGCUCCUGCUGAGGUUUUACUAACUGUUGCUACAACAAACUAAUCGACGGUAUAAUUUGACUUUCUUUACAAUUAAUCUGGACUUUUUUUUGUUGCAAAGAUUUGGAAUUUUCUGCAUUUAACCUGAAAUUCAUGCUUCUUUAUUAAGGGCAAGGGGAUAAGAUUGUAUAAAUUGUGGAUUGUGGAACGUGAUGCUUUUUGUAUAAAGAUGUCGUAAUGUGGAGUGAAGUUACAUGAUUUUCAUCAAGGAAGAAUUUUGUUUUUGAAAGACUUAAUCUUGUGCUUUAAGUCUUAUUUUGCAGUAUCUAGUCACUUAGUAGUUAUUAAUUUGAAGUUUAAGUGUUUUUUUUAAUAUGGAGUUAUUUUACUUAUCAUGUAAUGUGUGCAUGGUUAA